rnacentral:misc_RNA from 1 species
UUUUUUUUUUUUUUUUUAUAACUUUUGCGGGUUUCUGUUUUUCUUCUUUGGAUUUUGGGUUCUUGUUGUUAAAUGGGUCGCUGUUGUUCAGCUGUUCGCUACGGAUCACCAUUGUUGUAUGCCGAUCCAAAUACUGCAACCUAAGGGCAUUUUUACGGCUUCUUUGUAAAUGGUACGGUGAAAUAGAAGCUUUAUGGCCAUUUUUAAGGUUCUUUCCUUCUAGAACUAGCAUCUAAAUGUGUUAAUGGCCAUCACUAGAACUCGUUUUACUCGUAGGAUUGCUUGAAUUCGUAAAACUUUCUGUAACUACAGUCGUCUGAAUUGUUUUUGAGAAUGGCUACAAUGGUCCUUUGCGGUUAUAUUAACAAAUUCAAUUGACUACUAGUUAACCUUCUUCAGCAUAGCUUAUGAACGACAUGAGUUGGUUUCUCGCGAGACCAUUUUCUUAUGUACCCAUAUGAAAAUUUUCACCGAGGACUGAGCUCUCUGUUUCACUUAACCAAAACAUCCAAAUUUCUGCUAUUGCAAUUUGGACAAGAUGUUGUGUGCCUGCUCAGGGGAGCAAUUCAAAUUUGAAGAGGCACCGCAGUCUCCGGAGUCAUUGGCCACAAGGGAUUUCUCGGCAAGCGGCCUUUCAUCUAGGACUGCGGGAGAUUGGGACUCUAAACUCGAGGAUAGUCAGGUGGAUGAAGCUGAAUCAACUCUCAAAGAAGCUCUCUCAUUGAAUUACGAGGAAGCCAGAGCAUUGCUGGGGAGGCUUGAAUACCAGAGAGGGAAUUUUGAUGCUGCUCUUCAGGUAUUCCAGGGCAUUGACGUUAGAAGUUUAACCCCUAAAAUGAUCAAGGCCAUAGCUGAAAGAACUCGGCAAAGAAAGCCACGUUCUAAAGGUGAUAUUGUGCCUCCCACUGUCAUGUCCAUGCAUUCAGUGAGUUUACUUCUUGAAGCAAUCUUACUGAAAGCAAAAUCACUAGAGGAACUUGGGCAUUGUAGAGGUAUGAUAUUUUCACUCCUGCUAGCUUAGAUAAUCAUUUAUGUCAUACUGGGAGUAUUUUGAAUAUGCUUUAGUAGAAUUCAGACUUGAAGGGUGUUAAGAUUCUUUGGAACUUUUUGAAUUGCAUUAGUUUUCCUCAGCAUAUAUAUACAUGUUUGCUUAUCCCCUUUGAGAAUAACUAAAUAUAUACAUGACUGAUAAAGUAUGCAGUUUAUUCAAUUUAUUUUUGUUCCAAAAUUUUUUAAAAAUAAAGUUAAUUUAGUUUUAGCAUAAAUCAUAAGUGGCCCUAUAAUAUGAUUGCAAUGGUUUUAUAUUGAAGGAAUUAUAGUAUUUGAAAUUUAAAACAAAGGGUUCUGAUACUCGCUCAAAUCAUUAGAGGCUGCAAAGGAGUGCAGGAUUAUUUUAGACAUAGUUGAAUCAGCACUACCUAAUGGUAUGCCUGAAGGAGUUGGUGAAGACUGCAAAUUGGAGGAAAUGUUUCACAAAGCAUUGGAGUUUCUUCCAAUUCUGUGGACAAAGGCAGGUUUGAUUGAUGAAGCUAUUAUUGCAUAUCGCCGGGCUCUGGUCAAGCCAUGGAAUUUAGAUCCACGGAGGUUGGCUGGAGUGCAAAAAGACUUAGCUUCCAUUUUACUUUUUGGUGCUGUUGAAGCAAAACUUCCCCCUCACUUACAAACAUGGGGACCAGGGUCCCCCAACAGUAGUACAGAGGAAGCAAUCCUUUUGUUGUUGGUUCUCAUGAAUAAGGUAGCUUAUGGGGAAAUCGAGUGGGAUGAAGAAAUUAUGGAUCACCUGACAUAUGCUCUCUCAAUUAUUGGGCAGUUUGAAUUAUUAGCAGAGCAUGUGGAGCAGGUCCGUCCAGGUGUCUAUAACCGUGCUGAUAGAUGGUACUUUCUUGCUCUUUGUUACAGUGCUGCUGGCCAGAAUGAAACAGCUUUGAACCUUUUAAAGAAAGUUUCUGGUUUUUCAGAAUCAAAGCACAAACCCCAUAUCUCUUCCUAUCUAUUGGGAGCAAAAUUGUGUUCUGAAGAUCCAAAGCAUGCUCAUGAUGGCAUUAAUUUUUCUCAUAAAAUAAUUAACUUGGCUAAUCAUCAAAGUCAACAUUUCAUGGGUGAAGCCCAUAAAUUGCUUGGUGUUUGUUAUGGGAAUGCAGCGAGAAUUUGCUUAUCUGAUUCUGAAAGAAUUCUCCUGCACAAAGAGUCUUUGAACUCUCUAAGCCAUGCUGCUCUAAAUAGGCAGGAGGAUCCUGAAGUAUUGUAUAGCCUUGCACUUGAGAACACACUGCAGAGGAAUCUAGAUGCAGCUUUUGACAAUGCAGUUAUGUACACUGAAACCAUGGCUGGUAACUCUGUGAGAGGUUGGAAGCUACUCUCCCUUAUAGUUUCUGCCCAGCAGCGUUUCAGGGAUGCUGAAAUAGUUGUUGAGUUGGCUUUGGAUGAGUCUGGGAGAAUAGAUCAGUUUGAACUUCUUAGGUUGAAGGCUGUGCUUCAAAUUGCUCAGGAGCAGCCCAAGCUGGCAAUAGAAACAUACAGAAUAUUGCUGUCUCUUAUUCAAGCACAGAGAGAUCUUCAAGACAAGAAUCCUGUUCUCGCUCAUAUCUUUGAGUCUGAGGCACUAGCAGAAAGAAACUUGGAACUGGCAGUGUGGCAAGAUUUGGCUGCCAUUUACUCUAAACUUGGCUCAUGGCCUGAUGCCAAAAUUUGCACGGACAAAGCAAAGUUGCUGGACUUUCAUUCUCCUAGAAGUUGGCACACCACAGGAGUGUUUUUUGAAGCUCAAUCACUGCACAAAGAAGCCCUUGUUUCUUUCUCAGUCUCACUGUCAAUAGACCCAGACUAUGUUCCAAGUAUUGUCUCCACUGCAGACGUGUUGAUGAAACUUGGAAAGCAGUCAUUUCCAGUUGCCAGGAGCUUUUUAAUGAAUGCAUUGCGCUUAGACCCCACAAAUCAUCAAGCAUGGUUCAGUCUUGGCUUAAUUUCAAAAAUGGAAGGCUCAUUACAGCAAGCUGCAGACUUUUUCCAAGCUGCAUACGAGCUCAAGCUGUCAGCUCCUGCGCAAAGCCUAGUAUGAAAAUGGUUUUCCAAUUAUUUCAAGCAGAAAGUACCCAAAACAGGGAUCUCCGUGAAUUAUAUUUAUCAUUAAUUGGCCAUUGAUUGCAAUGGCUCGACAACUAUGCUUAUUCCACUCAGUCACUCACCGUGUCUAGUUAUAGAUUCCCUUGAUUGAUUUGUAUAGCAAAUCCUGCUUUAGGUUUGAAUUACUCCAGUUUAUAUCAUAAAAUUUUUGAGCAUGGCUUUUCAACGAUUCAGAGGAUAACUAUGUUUGGAUUAAAAUUUUUGUUUCAAGUUGAAUACACACAAUUCC